UACGUAGGGUGCGAGCGUUGUCCGGAAUUAUUGGGCGUAAAGAGCUCGUAGGCGGUCUGUCGCGUCGGCUGUGAAAACCCGAGGCUCAACCUCGGGCCUGCAGUCGAUACGGGCAGACUAGAGUGCGGUAGGGGAGACUGGAAUUCCUGGUGUAGCGGUGAAAUGCGCAGAUAUCAGGAGGAACACCGGUGGCGAAGGCGGGUCUCUGGGCCGUAACUGACGCUGAGGAGCGAAAGCGUGGGGAGCGAACAGG
rnacentral:rRNA from 1 species